UACGAAGGGGGCUAGCGUUGCUCGGAAUCACUGGGCGUAAAGCGCACGUAGGCGGGUCGCUAAGUCAGGGGUGAAAUCCUGCGGCUCAACCGCAGAAGUGCCUUUGAUACUGGCGGCCUCGAGGGAGGUAGGGGCGUGCGGAACUUCCGGUGGAGCGGUGAAAUGCGUAGAUAUCGGAAGGAACGCCGGUGGCGAAAGCGACGCGCUGGACCUCUUCUGACGCCUGAGGCGCGAAAGCCAGGGGAGCAAACGGG
rnacentral:rRNA from 1 species